AGCUAGUUGGUGGGGUAAUGGCCCACCAAGGCGAAGACGGGUAGGGGGCGUGAGAGCGCGGCCCCCCACACUGGCACUGAGAUACGGGCCAGACUUCUACGGAAGGCAGCAGUCGGGGAUAUUGCACAAUCGGCGAAAGCCGGAUGCAGCGACGCCGCGUGGGCGAUGAAGGCCUUCGGGUUGUAAAGCCCUUUUAUGGGGGAAGAGACAAGGACGGUACCCCAAGAAUAAGCGUCGGCUAACUACGUGCCAGCAGCCGCGGUAAAACGUAGGACGCAAGCGUUAUCCGGAUUUACUGGGCGUAAAGAGCGUUGAGGCGGUUCCGUAAGUUGGGCGUGAAAGCCCCGGGCUUAACCCGGGGAGGUCGUUCAAUACUGCGGGACUUGAGGGCAGCAGAGGGAGGCGGAAUUCCCGGUGUAGCGGUGAAAUGCGUAGAUCUCGGGAGGAACACCAGUGGCGAAGGCGGCCUCCUGGGCUGUUUCUGACGCUGAAGGCGAAAGCUAGGGGAGCGAACGGGAUUAGAAACCCCGGUAGUCCUAGCCGUAAACGAUGGAUGCUGGGUGUGGGGGGUAUAGAUCCCCUCCGUGCCGAAGCUAACGCGUUAAGCAUCCCGCCUGGGGAUUACGGCCGCAAGGCUUAAACUCAAACGAAUUGACGGGGGCCCGCACAAGCAGCGGAGCGUGUGGUUUAAUUCGAUGCUACACGAAGAACCUUACCUGGGCUUGACAUGUAGGUAGUAGUGAAGCGAAAGCGGAACGACCCUUCGGGGAGCCUACACAGGUGCUGCAUGGCUGUCGUCAGUUCGUGCCGUGAGGUGUCGGGUUAAGUCCCGUAACGAACGCAACCCUUGCCCUUAGUUACAUGUGUCUAAGGGGACUGCCCGGGACAACUGGGAGGAAGCGUGGGGAUGACGUCAAGUCAGCAUGGCCUUUAUGUCCAGGGCUACACACACGCUACAAUGGCCGGUACAAUGGGUCGCCAAGCCGUGAGGCGGAGCCAAUCCCCCAAAGCCGGUCUAAGUUCGGAUUGUGGGCUGCAACUCGCCCAUAUGAAGCUGGAGUUGCUAGUAACCGCGCGUCAGCAAUAGCGCGCCGAUACGUUCCCGGGCAUUGUACACACCGCCCGUCACGUCAUGGAAGCUGGCAACACCUGAAGCCAGUGAGC
rnacentral:rRNA from 1 species